GCCGGGUGCGUUGGCAUGUGCCUGUAAUCCAAGUCACUGGGAGGCUGAGGUUGGUGGACCAAGUGAGCUGAGGAGCUCUGGGCUGCAGCACGCUAUGUCGAACGGGUGUCCACGCCAAGUUCGGUAUCGAUAUGGUGUUCCUGGGGGAGCCCGGGACCACCAGGUUGUCUAAGGAGGGGUGAACCGGCCCAGGUCGGAAACGAAGCAGGUCAAAUCCCCCGUGCUGUCCAGUAGUGGGAUAAUACCUGUGAGUAGAUGCUGCAGUGCAGCCUUGGCAAAACAUUGAGACCUAGUCUUUU
ensembl:misc_RNA Metazoa_SRP Metazoan signal recognition particle RNA